AAAGUACUCCCUCCGUCCCAAAAUUCUUGUCUUAGAUUUGUCUAGAUAGGGAUGUAUCAAGUCACAUUUUAGUAUUAGAUACAUCCGUAUCUAGAAAAAUCUAAGACAAGAAAUUUGGGACAGAGGGAGUAGUUG
rnacentral:pre_miRNA from 1 species